rnacentral:rRNA from 1 species
GGAAAAGAAACCAACAGGGAUUGCCUCAGUAACGGCGAGUGAAGCGGCAAAAGCUCAAAUUUGAAAUCUGGCACCUUCGGUGUCCGAGUUGUAAUUUGAAGAAGGUAACUUUGGAGUUGGCUCUUGUCUAUGUUCCUUGGAACAGGACGUCACAGAGGGUGAGAAUCCCGUGCGAUGAGAUGUCCAACUCUAUGUAAAGUGCUUUCGAAGAGUCGAGUUGUUUGGGAAUGCAGCUCUAAGUGGGUGGUAAAUUCCAUCUAAAGCUAAAUAUUGGCGAGAGACCGAUAGCGAACAAGUACAGUGAUGGAAAGAUGAAAAGAACUUUGAAAAGAGAGUGAAAAAGUACGUGAAAUUGUUGAAAGGGAAGGGCUUGAGAUCAGACUUGGUAUUUUGCAAGCCUUACCUUCGUGGUGGGGUCCCCUGCAGUUUACUGGGCCAGCAUCGGUUUGGAUGGUAGGAUAAUGACUUGGGAAUGUGGCUUUGCUUCGGUAAAGUGUUAUAGCCCUUGUUGAUACUACCUGUCUAGACCGAGGACUGCGUCUUUGACUAGGAUGCUGGCAUAAUGAUCUUAAGUCGCCCGUCUUGA